rnacentral:rRNA from 1 species
UACGUAGGGGGCAAGCGUUGUCCGGAAUCAUUGGGCGUAAAGAGCGUGUAGGCGGCCCGAUAAGUCCGCUGUGAAAGUCCAGGGCUCAACCCUGGGAUGCCGGUGGAUACUGUCGGGCUCGAGUCCGGAAGAGGAGUGUGGAAUUCCGUGGUGUAGCGGUGAAAUGCGCAGAUAUCAGGAGGAACACCGGUGGCGAAGGCGGCGACCUGGGUAGAUACUGACGCUGAGGCGCGAAAGCGUGGGGAGCAAACAGG